GACGAACGCUGGCGGCGUGCUUAACACAUGCAAGUCGAACGGUGAAGGGACCGGUUUUUGCUGGUUCUGGAUGAGUGGCGAACGGGUGAGUAACACGUGAGUAACCUGCCCCCUUCUUCUGGAUAACCGCAUGAAAGUGUGGCUAAUACGGGAUAUUCUGCGCCUGCUGCAUGGUGGGUGUGGGAAAGAUAUUGUUUCGGUGGGGGAUGGGCUCGCGGCCUAUCAGCUUGUUGGUGGGGUGAUGGCCUACCAAGGCGGUGACGGGUAGCCGGCCUGAGAGGGUGGACGGUCACACUGGGGCAGAGACACGGCCCAGACUCCUACGGGAGGCAGCAGUGGGGAAUAUUGCACAAUGGGCGCAAGCCUGAUGCAGCGACGCCGCGUGAGGGAUGGAGGCCUUCGGGUUGUAAACCUCUUUCGCCAGUGAAGCAGGCCUGUCCCUUUUGUGGGUGGGUUGACGGUAGCUGGAGAAGAAGCGCCGGCUAACUACGUG
rnacentral:rRNA from 1 species